UACGGAGGGUGCAAGCGUUGCUCGGAAUUAUUGGGCGUAAAGGGUAGGUAGGUGGUCUUAUUUGUCUGGGGUGAAAUCCUUGAGCUUAACUCAAGAAGUGCCUCAGAAACGGUGAGACUAGAGUUCUGGAGAGGGUCGUGGAAUUCCCGGUGUAGCGGUGAAAUGCGUAGAGAUCGGGAGGAACACCAGAGGCGAAGGCGGUUCUCUGGGCCUUACCUGACGCUGAGGAGCGAAAGCGUGGGGAGCGAACAGG
rnacentral:rRNA from 1 species